GGUCUUUGGUUCCAUGCAAACAACACAGCCAACUGAAACGUGGUUACUUCCAAAUCGUACUGACCUACUUCGUUUUUAAAUGUUAUCUGAAACAGAGAAUGGGCUUCACACUGGUAAUGGAGAGUUGGCAACGGCACUGUGUGUGAUGAGGACACAAACCAGGACUUAUGCUAACGUCUGCAUGGGAAGAGGCAAUCCCUUUAAUCCAAGUAUGAACUGAGCUGGCUCAACCUGUGCUGCAGCUGUGCCACAGGUCUCUUCCUGCAUGCACCGCAUCCCGGCUUUCUCAGCGUAAGCAAGGCCUACCUUCAACCACCUAUUUCCUCCUCACAAUAAGGAAACGAGGAUCAUCCUGAAAAGCUUCUUUGACCAGUUUACUGAAUCUAUUGAACAGUUUCUCACUGGGCAUGGUAGCACACAUGUUUAAUCCAGUACCAGCAAAGGCAGGUGGAGCUCUGAGUCCAAGGUAAGCCUGAUCUAUGUAGUGUGUACCAGGACAGCCAGGGCUAUGCAGAGAAACUCUUGUCUCAAUAAACAAAAGAAAACCAAAAAGUAGUUCUCACUGGCCUGGUAGGAUGGGGAUCUAAGUGUCUCCACUUACGCAGUGGUGACAUUACAAAUAAAUGCCAUCGUGAACAGAUUAUCAUUAUUAUAUUCAUUUAUUUAUGUGCAGGGACGGGUAUCUCCCCACAGCAUACAUAUAGAGGUAAGAGGACAACUUUUACCUUGUAGGUCUACCAUGUGGGCCCCAGAUAUUAAACUCAAGUGUUGUCAGGUUUGAUGGCAAGUACCUUAAUUCACUGAGCCAUCUCACUGGCCCACAUUUGGCUUUUUCAAACUCCUAUCCUUGUGCCUGCAAGCCAAAUUCUUUACCAAGUGGGCCAUCUCCCCAGUCAGAUAUGCAAUUUCAAUAUUUAUUUUUAAUUAUGUGUAGUUGUGUAUGUACCUGAUGUGAGUGAAAGUGUCCAUAUGAAUUAGAGAUACUGGACCCCUGGAGGCAAAGUUACAGGCAGUUAUGAGUGUCUGAUAUGGGUGCUAGGAAUCAAACUGCAGUCCUCUGUGAAAGCAGUGUAUGUUCUUAACCACUGCCUCUCUAGCACCAGAUACUAAGUUUUUAAAGCAAUCCAAGGGGGCUAGGUAUGGUGGCAUAUACAUUUAACCCUAGCACUAAGGGAGUAGAUCUUCCAGUGUGAGACCAGCCUGGUCUCCAAAGUGAGUUCCAGGACUGCCAGAGCUACAGUGAGACCCUGUCUCAAAAACCAACCAACGAAAACAUACAAAGCAGUCUGAGGAUGAGGCUGUGGCUCACUGAUCCAGGCCAUGCUUACUUAUCAGCCAAGUGUCUAAGGCUCUGGAACUGACAUCCAGCACUAACAAGAAAAAAAUUAAAGUUAACAUGGAAAAUAUGCAGAACUUACUGCCUGUGCUUGCUUAAUAAAUUCAAGGAUAUCUUCUUUUAAAGCCUGAUGAAUUUUUGAUGAGCCUUUAUCAUCCCAGAGACAGACAGCAUGUACAUCCCUGUAAAAAUAAAGCAGACCAGGAGUGAAACAGGCACACAGAGAAGCAUUCUCCUUAAGUCCUACGUUAGUACAGUUUCCACAAACCACUCUUUGGAACUAAGCACUCUUUGGAAGGUAUCUCGAAGGGGUGUGGUGCAUGCCUGCAGUCCCAACACUGGGAGGCAGAGAGAGGAGGACCCAGAAAACUUGCAGUCAGCCAAUUGAGUCAACAUGGUGAGCUCCAAGUUUAGUAGCUCUGAAAAAAUGAAAAAAUUGAUAUAAAACCUGGAAAGAUGAAAGUUCAGGUAAAAAGAACGCUCAUUAAGCUGUACUUUUUCAAAACUACUGCUGAAAAAUUUCUCUUCUUCAAUGCAAAUGGUUAGAGUUGAUUUCUAAGCUGCUGUGAUUGCUUUCCAUUCAGACGAAAUCAUACCUACUGGCAUUGCCUAGGACACAGCUGAGACAAUUCCUAGUUCUUUCUGCACAUGCCUUGCAGAAAAUUUUGCAAAUUUUGCUCACCUCAAAAUUUCAGUGUGACAGGUAAGCAAACUGAAACUAACACAGGAACAGUCACCUGAUGCCAAGGCCUGGGUUGAAUUAGCUGGCUGAACUGGGAAGCCCAACGUGGAUAGCUUCCCAACACUGGCUUUGCUUGCUAACAAAACUGUGUCUUCUGGAAUUAAACAGGCUUGUGUCCAAUGCCCUGACCCUAGAUACUACAGACUAUAGUCCUGGAAGCUUUAGGCUCUGUGCCUACAUUAAUGUUUCAGCCUUAACUAUGUUCCUGUUCCCACCUUCCCCAACCCAGUACUGGGGUUAAACCAGGGUCCUGUCCAUGUUAAGCAAGUAUUCUACCACUAGAACAAAAGUUAGUUUUAAAAAAGGGGGUGGGGUUGGGGAUGCUACAGAAUGGCUCAGUGAUUAGGAAGACCUGUUUGUUACUCUCCUAGGACUGGGUUUCAGUUCCCAUCAGUCACAUGGAGGCUUACAACUCUUCAAGCCAUCUAGCAUACUCUUCUGGCCUCCUCAGGAAGCAGGCAUGCACACUAUGUACUUGUAUAUAUGUAGGCAAAACACUCAUGCAUAAUAAAUUAAAUUAGCAGUUCACACAGAAACUGAAGAAGAAAACCACUGGCUUUCUAAGGUAAACCUUGUGGAUAAUAAGUUGUUUAAAUCUGCUACACUGCCUCAGACACUGUUUUCUAGACAUCUGGCCAAGGACUAAGCAGCAACAAAACAGAUCUGAGAUUCAAUUCCUUAGAAAAAUCUGUUUGUAAGGCUAGCCUUAGUCUGGAAUCUGAGAACUGCCAGUUUCCCACAUCUAAAUAAACCUUCCCGGAAAUGAUAACACUGGUUCAUGUAUCUAAACUGUUAAUACAAACAUCCUGAAUUUAUACUAACUCUUCCUAGGAGUCCAGAGUUUGACUAUAUAGCCACUUCAUUAACUCUUUUUGUUUUUUUUUUGUUUUUUUUUCCAGAGCUGGGGACCAAACCCAGGGCCUUGCGCUCGCUAGGCAAGCACUCUACCGCUGAGCUAAAUCCCCAACCCCCUUCAUUAACUCUUAAUAACAUAUCACAUGUUGUCAACACCUUGCUGCUGAAGAAAUUAAAUGUCCCAUGACUGGAGAGACGUCUCAGCAGUCAAGAGCACUUGUUAUUUUUACAGAGGAGCUAAGGCCAUUUUCUAGCUAGCAUCCACAUGGUGGCUCACAAACUCCAUUUCCAGGGGAUCCAAGACUCUCUUCUGUCCUCCAUCAGUACCAAGUAUACAUAUAGCACAUACACAUACAUGCGAGCAAAAUACUUAUACGUAUAAAAUGAGAUAAACAAAUCUAAGAAAAAAAUGUAAUGCCCCAGGUGAAUCCACUGGAAAAGGACUUUUGGAAAUUUGUGCUUUUAAUCUCCUCCUUAAAUCUUCCAAUUUCAGCCCUUUUGCCUUUUCCCUGUAUGAUUAGGUUUGUAAGGUCAGAGAACCUAGACUCUGUCUUGGGAAUCUCCAAGACAGCCAGUAACAAUACACAGGUUUUCUUACCACUUAAACUCUUACUGUCAAUCCAGUAUGUAAAGCCACCAAAACCCGCUUUGUUAACAAACAGAAUUACUGGAUUACUUACGAAAACAGAUCAAACCACUGCUGCUUUGUUACAGAUUCCUGGCGUAAAAGCUUCAAAACAAUUGGACGCAUGAAAUCCCACUUGUCUUCAAACUGGAGAGAACCUUUAUUCUUAAAAAUAAAAAAGAUAAAAUAUGGUUUAAUUUUAAAGUAAUUAAAUAUAAAAGUCUUACAUACAUUUCUCUAAAAAUAUAUAUUUCCUAAGGAAAAAUAAAGAGAUCAAAUUUAGAACAAAUACCUUUCUAAAACAGAGUUCUUAUAGGCUUAAUUUUAUAGCAGGGAAUCAAAGAUAACUAUAAACACAAAUCAGAAAUUUGUGGAAUUAUAGGUCAGAAUCACAGCCUGUACAUGAGUCCCUGGGGUCAUCCUAGGAGGAGGGGAAGAAAGAGACUGCAAAGACUAAAACCUAGUGCACAACAGCAUACAGGGAAGAAUUUGUUAUAAAGAGUGUGGCCUUUCCUCUUGGUUCCUUCUGGUAGAUACUCCCCGGACAACUGGAAUGUCUACCUAAUAUGAACCUUAGGUCCUGUGUAAGGGACAAGAUAAUAAAUGUGGUUUUGGUAGGGGACUGGCAGAGUCAACAUGGUCUCAAUAUUGGGGCUGGCCAAUUUAAAAGACUAACAAUGUAAUUGAGAGAAGGGCUUUGUGUCAAUGUAGAGUCCAAAGUAUCCAUGGACAUAAACAUUCUUAUCUUUGUGAAGAAAUUCCACACAAAUUGCCAGGGAAAAAGUUAGAUUAGCUUCCUUAGGCAUAAUUCAUGUAUAUUGUCAUACACUGACCAGAGGGAGGACAACAGAAGCUGUACCUCGGGCCUCCUAGACUCCAUCCUAUAGGCCUCUCUCUUAAGCUGAUCUUGAACUGAGUGCUGCAGCCAUAUAACAAAUAACAGUAAUUAUGCCAGCCUGCAGUAAAGCCUGAGUCUUUCUGCUGUUGAAGAUGAAUGGAUAUCUUACAGAGAGACUUAAUCCUCUAAUUUCGUAGCUGUAUUACAUUCUUCACACUGCAAAGCUGUCAGCUGAAGAGAUAGCUCAGCAGUUAAGAGCUCUUGUUGCCCUUGCAAAGACCUGGGUUUAAUCCUAGACCCACGCUAACACAUGACUCUCUGCAACUCCACUUCUACGAGAUCUGACGCCCUCUUCAGGCUUCCAGGGACACCAACCAUGCACACAGUGCACAUACACGCAUGUAAAAUACUUAUGUCCAUGGAAGUAUCAUUUUUAAAAAAUCAGGAGGAAGGGAAGCUGGGUGAGGUGGCACCCACCUCCCAGAAUUUACGAGACAGAAGCAGGUGAAGGUCUGAGUUCAAGGUCAGCCUGCUCCACAUAGUGAGUUCUAGAACAAGCCAUAGCUACAAAGACCGGGUUCAAAAGAAACAAAAUAAAACAACGCUAUAAAUCCACAAAAGCCCACCAGGCAGUAGUACACUCACCUUUAAUCCCACUGUACUUUUGUGGAGUUUUUGUUUUUUUUGUUUUUUGUUUUUUUUUUUUCCAAGACAGGGUUUCUCUGUGUAGACCAGGCUGGCCUCAAAGUCCGAGAGCUAUCCACCUCUGCCUCCCAAUGGCUGGGUUUAAAGGGAUGGGCCAUUACCACCUGGCUUACUUCUAAUUCUUAAUAUAUCACGUUACAUAAAUAAUUAUCAAGUGACAAAGAAAAUAUCUGUAUACCUGUAAAAGUCUAAAAUUUUAAGUACUUUUGAUCCACUGUUGGUUAAAAUCAAUGCUAAAAGAAAAUGCCUCAUCUAACAAGCUAAUAAAAUCUUGGCAUCAAAUUUGAGAGCAACACGAGACACAAAGGAAACAUAUAUAAAGAUUUAAAUGAGCAUUAUCAUACUGAACAUUAGUCCAUCCUAAGCAUUUUGUCCUACGAACAGUAUCUUAUUAGGAGAAAAACAAAUUAGUCACAGCACCAAACAGAAAGAAGGAGCAACUUCCUAUGUACCAGCCAAGAGCUUAGCUCCUAUUCUAGCUAAAUGUAUUCAUAUGACUUGUUCUGGCCAAUAAAGUUCAUUUCUUUUCUUUUUUGACUCCCCAUUUGUUUUCUAGUAGAGCAGCACUAAAUAUUUUAUGAAACUCCUGAUUUGUUUUUAUAUACUUUACUUAAAUUAUAUUAAUUUUUAUGUCUUCCAAUGUGGGUACAUGAGUGCCAUGGCGUGCAUGUGGAGGUCAGAGGACAAUUUCUGAAUUUAGGUUCUCUUCUACCUUGAGAGUUGCAGAGGACUGAAGUUAUCAGGCUUGGCAACAAAAGUUUUAUUAGCUGGUCUGACUUGUCAGACCACACAAAUGUUUUUAAGGAUACUGCUUAGUCCAAUCAUUUAUUGCUGGAUUUUUUUUUGUUGUUGUUCUAUUUGCUGACCUUUAUUUUGGAGUAGCGGUGGCCAUCCUGGAAUUUGCUCUGUAGACCAGUCUGGCCUUGAAACUCACAAGAGACCUGCCUGUCUCUGCCUCCCAGUGCUGGGAUUAAAGGUGUAAGCCACCACCGCUUAUCAUAGAUUCUUAACCCAAUCAUAUACUGCAUGAAAUCUGCAAACCUCCUGAAUUAUACUUCAGAAACCAUUUUCAACAUAUCCUCUGACAACCUACAUCAAAUCUUCUGGUGUAGUAACUUUACCUAAGAUUCCUAAACCUACCACAGACCUACUGAACCCACUAGAAUUCAGAAUCAGCAUGCUUAUCAAAUGAUAAAUUCAUGUAGUUGUGAGUCAGUCUAUGGCACCAAAACUUAUGAACUACUAACCACCAUCAUAUAAAACUAAAAGGAAGUGAUGUUUCUUACACUCACUUACAAAGGUUACCCUAAGUUAGUCUGUUGCUCCAAGUGCCUACUGCUAUCGCUUAGUAGUAUUAUAUGUAAUAUAUACGUAUAUAUACUAUAUAAUAAAGACACCUGAGAGAUGUGCCAACAUUAGCUGAGCCUUUUUCCCUUCACCAACUACAGAAUUUAAGUGAGCCAGGCACAGUGGCAUAGAACAUUAAACAGCACUCAGGUGGCAGAUGCCCGAACUGAGUUCCAGGUCAGCCUGAUCUAUAAAGUAAAUUCCAGGACAAUGAAAGCUACACAGUUAGACCCUGUCUAAACAGAAGAACUUAGGUAAAUUGAAAGGUUAAUUUUUGUUCUCCUUAUGGAGCUAGCUAAUGAGUUUAGCCAGAUUUGUGAUCCUAAAUUAUACAUUAUGUAAGGCUAACUUUAUGCCUGGCUAUCUAUUAUUUUUUUCUACUGCUACUAUUCUCCUGUAGCUUCAUUUCUCCUUCUAAAAAAAUAUAUUUUAUAUUUUAUGUAUGUGUGUGUCUGUAUGUGUGUAUGUAUGUGCAUGUGUGUAGCUGCUGUAAGAUACCAGGUGAGUGCUGGGAACAGAACCCAGGUAUCUAACAAAACAACCAGUGAUCUUUUUUUUUUUUCCUUUUCUUUUUUUCGGAGCUGGACCGAA